rnacentral:rRNA from 1 species
UAGGGAAUCUUCCACAAUGGGCGCAAGCCUGAUGGAGCAACACCGCGUGAGUGAAGAAGGGUUUCGGCUCGUAAAGCUCUGAUGUUAAAGAAGAACACGUAUGAGAGUAACUGUUCAUACGUUGACGGUAUUUAACCAGAAAGUCACGGCUAACUACGUGCCCG